rnacentral:lncRNA from 1 species
ACAGGUUACAAAGUCGUAUUUGCAGACGACAACUUAGUAAGAGUGUUAGGUCUACAGAAUCUACGACAAAAGACAUCGAGAUGAAUUCAGCUGAAGGUGUUUUGUAACAAAACACUUUCAUAUAUAUAUGAACUUACAAGAAACUCACAAGUCAUCUGAUAAUGUUCUCAAAACAGGAUAUAAUAAACAAUAUCAACAACAAAAGGAAGCUGUAUUUCCUUGUCCUUGAACAAAAGACAUUUAACAUCAGUCAAAUGAUCCUAUAUAUUUAUACAUGUAUACAAGAAUGAACAAGGUUAUAUAUGUUAUUUAAUCUAUAUUGGGACAUUAUCAUGGUAUCUUAAUGACAAAAAAACAAACAUUCACAUAAUUAGCUUGUUUGGUCUGAAUGUGCUUGUAAUUUAAUAUGACAAACUGUAUGUAGAAUAAGAAGUAAUUAUCACACCAUCAAUGAGACAACAUCAACGACGAAAAUAAAUAGAUGAAAAAGUAUGCAAAAAUCAUCAACAACAGAUAGAUGUGCGUAGAAUCGCCAAGUGUGUUACAACAUUAUGCACAUAAAGCUGUUCAAUAUAGUUGCAAUAUUAAAAUAUGUAACAAUGUGUCAUAGAGCACUUUUUAUAGUAAUUAGUAAACACAAUCCUAGCAUAUUAAAAUUUAUGAUGA